rnacentral:rRNA from 76 species
GCAAAAGAAGUAGGUAGCUUAACCUUCGGGAGGGCGCUUACCACUUUGUGAUUCAUGACUGGGGUGAAGUCGUAACAAGGUAACCGUAGGGGAACCUGCGGUUGGAUCACCUCCUUACCUUAAAGAA